rnacentral:rRNA from 1 species
UGAAGCAACAAAUGCCCUGCUUCCAGGAAAAGCCUCUAAGCAUCAGGUAACACGAAAUCGUACCCCAAACCGACACAGGUGGUCAGGUAGAGAAUACCAAGGCGCUUGAGAGAACUCGGGUGAAGGAACUAGGCAAAAUGGUGCCGUAACUUCGGGAGAAGGCACGCUGACACGUAGGUGAAGUGAUUUACUCAUGGAGCUGAAGUCAGUCGAAGAUACCAGCUGGCUGCAACUGUUUAUUAAAAACACAGCACUGUGCAAACACGAAAGUGGACGUAUACGGUGUGACGCCUGCCCGGUGCCGGAAGGUUAAUUGAUGGGGUCAGCGUAAGCGAAGCUCCUGAUCGAAGCCCCGGUAAACGGCGGCCGUAACUAUAACGGUCCUAAGGUAGCGAAAUUCCUUGUCGGGUAAGUUCCGACCUGCACGAAUGGCGUAAUGAUGGCCAGGCUGUCUCCACCCGAGACUCAGUGAAAUUGAACUCGCUGUGAAGAUGCAGUGUACCCGCGGCAAGACGGAAAGACCCCGUGAACCUUUACUAUAGCUUGACACUGAACAUUGAGCCUUGAUGUGUAGGAUAGGUGGGAGGCUUUGAAGUGUGGACGCCAGUCUGCAUGGAGCCGACCUUGAAAUACCACCCUUUAAUGUUUGAUGUUCUAACGUGGACCCGUAAUCCGGGUUGCGGACAGUGUCUGGUGGGUAGUUUGACUGGGGCGGUCUCCUCCUAAAGAGUAACGGAGGAGCACGAAGGUUGGCUAAUCCUGGUCGGACAUCAGGAGGUUAGUGCAAUGGCAUAAGCCAGCUUGACUGCGAGCGUGACGGCGCGAGCAGGUGCGAAAGCAGGUCAUAGUGAUCCGGUGGUUCUGAAUGGAAGGGCCAUCGCUCAACGGAUAAAAGGUACUCCGGGGAUAACAGGCUGAUACCGCCCAAGAGUUCAUAUCGACGGCGGUGUUUGGCACCUCGAUGUCGGCUCAUCACAUCCUGGGGCUGAAGUAGGUCCCAAGGGUAUGGCUGUUCGCCAUUUAAAGUGGUACGCGAGCUGGGUUUAGAACGUCGUGAGACAGUUCGGUCCCUAUCUGCCGUGGGCGCUGGAGAACUGAGGGGGGCUGCUCCUAGUACGAGAGGACCGGAGUGGACGCAUCACUGGUGUUCGGGUUGUCAUGCCAAUGGCACUGCCCGGUAGCUAAAUGCGGAAGAGAUAAGUGCUGAAAGCAUCUAAGCACGAAACUUGCCCCGA